AGCCAAUGCGGCCGUAGCUCUCGCUCAUAGACUGAUAUUGAUGACACACUUGGUGAAGGCCUUCUGGGAUUUGUGGUUUAUACAAAGAGGCCCGGCAAGAAUUGGAGAGGCCGCAACAUCGGGGGCGAGGCAAAGGUGAAACAAAAUAAUGAGUGAAGUUGCUUAGUGAACUGUGAAAUCUCAGAACAGAUGGAGGAGGGAUGUUGCUAGAAUUUGAGUCAUUGCAGGCCCUGCAAAAUGCUCUGAGCCAGGUACACGGACUAGUGCAGGAGGCUCAUGAGCCCAGUCAUCCCUCACUGACCACUGAACAGACAGAUCUGGAACCUGGUAAUUGGAUUUGAGUCCGCAGACAUCAAGCGCCUAACCUCGAACUCAAGUGGGCUGGUCCAUACCCAAUCAUCUUACUGACUCCAACUGCUGUUAAAGUUGCUGGACAUGCCCAUUGGAGUCACCGUUCCCAAGUUAAGAGAG